GAUCUCAUGGUUUAGUGGUUAGGAUAUUGGAUUUUGAAUCUAGUAACCUGAGUUCAAAUCUCGAUGGGACCU
rnacentral:tRNA from 1 species